UGAUGGGCGUGCCGAGUGCGACGACGCCGGGUGUGGCUUCUGGUCGUACGUGCGUGCCUCUGGCGCCCAUGGCCGCGUUCUUCACUGGGUAUACGUUGGGCGUGCUUCAUGAAUCUAACGCCAAACUGCCACGUCAUCCUGCACAGCGCUGCUUCAGGCAUCUUGUGACGUAAUGUUGCGUGACAUUGCUUCACUACUCAUCAUGAACAA